UUAUCAGUCAUGCAUAGCAUAUCAAUAAGCGGAGGAAAAGAAACUAACAAGGAUUCCCCUAGUAACGGCGAGUGAAGCGGGAAGAGCUCAAAUUUGAAAUCUUAAGGGGUUUCCCUUUACGAAUUGUAGUUUAAAGAAGUGUUUUCUGUUAGAGUUUCGGUAAAAGUUCUUUGGAAUAGGACAUCAUAGAGGGUGAGAAUCCCGUAUUUGACCGUUAUUUCUAGCUUUGUGAUACACUUUCAAAGAGUCGGAUUGUUUGGGAAUGCAGUCCAAAAUGGGUGGUAAAUUUCAUCUAAAGCUAAAUAUUGGCGAGAGACCGAUAGCGAACAAGUACCGUGAGGGAAAGAUGAAAAGAACCUUGAAAAGAGAGUUAAACAGUACGUGAAAUUGUCAAAAGGGAAGCGUUUGACACCAGUGUUGUUUAAUUGAAAAUCAAUUAACUAAUUUUUGAUUUUAAAUAGUAUUGACUUUAUCAGCUUGCUAUUUUCUUUUCGGAAAUUAUUUAAUGCACUUUUCAGUUAACAAGUCAACAUCAAUUUCUUUUGUUGUAAGAAGGUAAGAGGAAGGUGGCUUAUGCUUCGGUAUAAGUGUUUAUAGCCUUUUACCUCUGCAACUCGGAGAGAUUGAGGUCUGCAGCGUAGAUCCUUCGGGGUUAGAUACAUUUGUGCUAAGUUAUAGUAUUUUAUAGACAACUUGUUGACUAUGAUUUAUCAUGUAGCUUUACUCGCUUAUGCUAUUUUACCUACGCUUAGGAUGUUGAGUAGCGACAUACGCAC
rnacentral:rRNA from 1 species